UACGUAGGUGGCAAGCGUUGUCCGGAUUUAUUGGGUUUAAAGGGUGCGUAGGCGGCUUUGUAAGUCAGGGGUGAAAUACGGUAGCUUAACUAUCGAGGUGCCAUUGAUACUGCAGAGCUUGAGUACAGAUGAGGUAGGCGGAAUUGACGGUGUAGCGGUGAAAUGCUUAGAUAUCGUCAAGAACACCUAUAGCGAAGGCAGCUUACUAGGCUGUAACUGACGCUGAGGCACGAAAGUGUGGGGAUCAAACAGG
rnacentral:rRNA from 1 species